rnacentral:rRNA from 1 species
ACAUGCAAGUCGAACGAAGUAGCAAUACUUAGUGGCAGACGGGUGAGUAACAUGUGGGUAUCUGCCCUUUGGCCUGGAAUAACACGAGGAAACUUGUGCUAAUACCGGAUAAGUCUUUACGGAGAAAGCUUUAUGCACCAUUGGAUGAGCCCGCACUUGAUUAGUUAGUUGGUAGGGUAAUGGCCUACCAAGACUGUGAUCAAUAGCUGAUUUGAGAGGAUGAUCAGCCACAUUGGGACUGAGACGCGCCAACUCC